rnacentral:lncRNA from 1 species
AUGGACUAUCUCCAUGUGCACACAGGUCUGCCUCUUAAUUCAACUACUGAAAUUAGGGACAAUAUCGGCAAGAGCACUUGGGUAAUAAGAGAACCAGCAGGAGCAGAAGUGGGUAUCGAGAUAUCAUGGGAAAAACUGCCCAUUUCUGUUUUGUCCACUUUGCUUUGGGAAGUGAGAGCUAUACUCAUUAUCACCACAUCCCCUGGCAUCCAACUCCGUUUCUUUGGCAGUCUUAGAAUAAAGCAGUCUAACAAGGAUACCCAGAAAUUGAACUCAGCUCUGCACCAAGUGGACCUAAUAGACAUCUACAGAACUCUCCACCCCACAUCAACAGAAUAUACAUUCUUUUCAGCACCACACCACACCUACUCCAAAACUGACCACAUAGUUGGAAGUAAAGCACUCCUCAGCAAAUGUAACAGAACAGAAAUGAUAACAAACUGUCUCUCAGACCACAGUGCAAUCAAACUAGAAUGCAGGAUUAAGAAACUCACUCAAAACCACUCAACUACAUGGAAACUGAACAACCUGCUCUUGAAUGACUACUGGGUAACUAAUGAAAUGAAGGCAGAAAUAAAGAUGUUCUUUGAAACCGACAAGAACAAAGACAAAACAUACCAGAAUCUCUGGGACACAUUCAAAGCAGUGUGUAGAGGGAAAUUUAUAGCACUAAAUGCCCACAAGAGAAAGCAGGAAAGAUCUAAAAUUGACACCCUAACAUCACAAUUAAAAAGAGCUAGAAAAGCAAGAGCAAACACAUUCAAAAGCUAGCAGAAGGCAAGAAAUAACUAAGAUCAGAGCAGAACUGAAGGAAAUAGAGACACAAAAAACCCUUCAAAAAAUUAAUGAAUCCAAGAGCUGGUUUUUUGAAAAGAUCAACAAAAUUGAUAGACC